AUCUAAAUAGCUCAGUUGGUAGAGCAUGAUGAGAAUCUUAAUCUCAGGGUCAUGGGCUGAAGCCCCAGGUUGGGCA